GCCCCCGUAGCUCAGUAAUGGAUAGAGCAAGGGAUUCCUAAUCCCUGGGUCGCCCGUUCGAGUCGGGCCGGGGGCACCA
rnacentral:tRNA from 1 species